CUUAACAGGAUUUAGUGACUAACUGGAUGUAGAGAGUGGAUGAUGAAAGGUGGAAAGGAGUAAGUUCCAGAGUCCUAGCAUGUGAGAAUGAGUAGAUGAAGAUCCAUCAACCAGACUAGCGAUAUAAAAGGAAGAGUAUGUCUUAGAGGUGAAAUCAUGAUCAAUUUUGGACAUGCAGAGUGAGAGAUUUCUGAGAUUUUAUUCAGAGAACAUCUUCAAAGGGAUUCUUGGAAAAUUCAAGAUCAUCAGUCCAUAAACACCCAGCAGAGGAAGAUUUUCCCUAUAAAAUAUUUGAAUUCAAGGGAGAAACCUGGGAGCCACAAGAAAAAGAGAUUUUUACAAUGAAGAAUGACAGACUGGGAGACAAUCACCCGAAGAAAACAAGAUGCUGCUUAUGGGGAUCUGAAGAAAAGCACUCAAGGAUUCUUGAGACUAUGUCAUCUUUAGAACUGAAAUGGAAACUAAAAAUCAGCUAUUCAAAGACUCUUAAUCCACAGGAAAUCCAGCCUGAGGAAAGCCUACAUGGAGGAGAAAAGAUGAGAGAAAAUGAAAAGGAGCUGAAUGAAAGCCCUGGAAGAGCUAUAUCCGAAGCCAGGCUAUUUCUGGUCUUUUCAGAUACUUGAGCUAAUCAAUUCCAUUUGUUGUUUAAGAUAAUUUGAGUUGUAUUUUCUAUUUUUCAUAUCCAAAAAUACCCAAGGUGAUACACCAACACUAUAAAGUUCAAACUCAAAAUCUGGCAUAUGUCCACUCUCUAAUAACAACUAACCUAUUUCUCUCUAUAUUUUUCAGCACUUUCAAUAGAACUUCCUGCAAUGAUGGAAACGUUCUAUAUCUGUGCUGGCCAAUAGAGUAGUCACUAGCUACAGUUAAACAGCACCUGAAAUGUGACUAGUGUGGCUGAAGAAGUGAAUUUUUAGUUUAAUUUAAUUGGACACGUGUCUAGCAGCUAUCAUAUUGAACAGCACAACUCUAACCUAAUGAAAUUUUCCUUGAGUAUAACCCAGUCUUUCCACCUUCCUUUGCUUAGUUUGUCCUUUUUACCUGGAGUACCUGAUUGUCUGUCUUCACACAGAAGAAAUGUAGACAUCCUUAUAAGCCAUCCUUAUAAACACAGCCAUUACAAGUUCAAAUGUCUCCUAUUCUAUGACGUUUUUUUGAUCACACUAUGCAGAACUGUGAACUUCUCCAAUCUAUUACUUCUAUUUUCU
rnacentral:lncRNA from 1 species